rnacentral:tRNA from 1 species
AGUCCUGUAGUGUAGGCACAUCGGAUUGCAAACCCGAAAACGCGGUUUAUCCCGCCGGGACUU